UGCAGUUAUUUAUCCAGGGGCAGUGGUGGUCCAUGCGGCGCACGCAGCGGUGGCACACACGGCAGUGGUGGGCGUGGGGUGGCCAAUACGCCUCACAGCGGCUGCACAGCGUCCACUCAUCCGAGUUCCGCUCCGUUGGGUGUAGGUCUGAGAAGUCGAUGGCGGUGCCGGGGAGGGGAACCACACCGGGGUCAGCAAAGACAGCGCGGGUGUGGGAGGCCAAAAGCAGCAGCACCAGGAGGUUGAACGUCACAGCGUGGAUGGGGCACCAUGGGCUGGAGCGCAGUGCGGGCUGCGGCAGGACGUGGGCGAGCACGGCGUAGUCGGCGUAGCCCACGCUGAGGUAGGCGAGCAGCGGGCAGAGCGCACCGCACGGAUCCCGCCCGCACCGCUCCGCAGCCGCCGCCGCCGCCAUCAUCGCCUCCUCUCCGCCGCUCCGGAGCUUCCGGUCCG
rnacentral:lncRNA from 1 species